rnacentral:rRNA from 1 species
GCUUACGGCCACACCUACCUCAGCACGCCCGAUCUCGUCUGAUCUCGGAAACAAGCAGGGUCGGGCCUGGUUUGUACUUGGAUGGGAGACCGCCCUGGGAAUACCAGGUGCUGGAAGCC